AAUCAAAAGGGCAAUCUAAAGCACAGUAACUAUGAAUGGAUUUCGAUGUCGGUGAAAUGUCAGACAAAAACAACGCUUCAUUAAUUUAAAGGCGAAUAUUUGGAGUUAGGCGACAGUUGUGCCACUACAUUGGCCUCUUUCACAGAAGUUCCUCCCUUUCCUCCAUAUGGUACUGUCAUCAGCAAAUUUAGCUAACUCAGUUUUGGCGUCGAGUAUACCUAUCACGGUCAUCAUGGGCAGAUAUGGAAAUCUUGGCAAAAACAAAAUGGAGGAUAAUGGUCAACAUCAGUUUUAUCAGCCUUCGGAUCGUAAAGUUCAAGGUUUCUAUAUUUUACAACAUUCAUGUUUUGUCAACAAUAUGUUGUUGGAAUGGGAGUUUUUUGACAAUGAUGAUCGUGUAUUCAGAUGUCAGACGAAGAUACAGAAGGAAGAUGUUGGAACCGAACCUGCAGUGUCUGUUAGUAGGACAGGCUCUAGAAAUUUUGCAGCAGCUGAUAUCUUGUUUAAGCUCUACGAAACACAACCAGUCAUAGAGGUUUCUGCUUACACUAAACCUGAUCAAGUUUUGAUACGUUGCUUAAAGAAGCGGAGGUGUUGAAGAAAGCUGCCGAGGAUGCAGGAGAAAACGUUACAGCUACUACAGCUGAAGGAACUGAUUCAGAAACUGAGACCAGUGACACAGAUGUUGAAAUGAAGGAAGAAGUAACAGAUUCACAGGCUAAGAAGAAAUAUCCUAGAAAACCACAUUACCGUCAUGCUGAUAAGAUUUAUUUUAAAAAGCUGCCCAGGCACGACUAGACGAAUUCAUAAAAGUUAAAAUGCUAAAAGAUCUACUGUUUGGACCUGCUUUCCCUCAUCAUAUCACACGCCAGAUUAACGGCUUACUGUAUAACCUCCCCGUUCCAGUUCGCUUUAUAAAUCAUUCCACUAGAAUUCAGAUGUACACCAUUGUAACGCAAAGUAUGUCACCGAUCAAAAUUGUCGCAUUUCUCAAAGCCAACGGUGGACAGUCUGGUCGCUUUCGUUUAGUCGACAAAUCAGAACUUCCGACACAUAAGCACAUUUUACCAGAACUUAAAAGUAGGGAAAUUUCAACUAAGAUCAAAUCCAAAUUUUAGUAGAAAUUUCAAUUUUGAUUGGCUAAGCACUAAAACCAAUCAAAUUGUUGGCUUUUUUGCUAAUAAAUAUAAGUGCUA